rnacentral:tmRNA from 1 species
GGGGGCGUUUAUGGAUUCGACGGGGGUAGUUCGAGCAUGAGCAGCGGGUAGUGGGGCAGCGUCCACUAUAAAACGCGAAGCCAAGUUUAAAUGGCAAACAACAACCUUCUUACGCUUUAGCAGCCUAAGAAACUGCUGGCGUGCUCCUGCCCGGCAUCGCCCACGUGCUGGGACAGGGGCUCACCCCAGUGGGCUACGCAGUCUGACCUCCGCCUGUGGUCGACUGAAGAAGACAAUCAGGCUAGCCUGGUGAGCAGCGGGUGACUUGGCAGCUCGCUAGGUGAACCAUCCUCAAGUCACUACACCCGUAGAAACUCAUGUGUUCGUUAUCUCCGGACAGGGGUUCGACUCCCCUCGCCUCCACCA